UACAGAGGUCUCAAGCGUUGUUCGGAAUUACUGGGCGUAAAGGGCUCGUAGGUGGCCAACUAAGUCGGACGUGAAAUCCCUCGGCUUAACCGGGGAACUGCGUCCGAUACUGGUUGGCUUGAGUUUGGGAGAGGGAUGCGGAAUUCCAGGUGUAGCGGUGAAAUGCGUAGAUAUCUGGAGGAACACCGGUGGCGAAGGCGGCAUCCUGGACCAAUACUGACGCUGAGGAGCGAAAGCCAGGGGAGCAAACGGG
rnacentral:rRNA from 1 species